AUGUGGCAGAUAAAUGUCUUAAAUUUAAGAUUUAAAUAUAAUUUUUCUUUAGAA
rnacentral:tRNA from 1 species